AUUGACCAGUCACAGCUCCUAGUGGUCCAUUCCUUCCUUCUCAGUGAGAUUUGGUUAAUGCUUCGGUUCUCGUUUGGGAAGGUAGAUUAAGGGUCCAGUUGAGACCAGUAUUAUCCUUUGAUGUAUAAACAUGCUCUCUCUCUGUUCUGUAGCCUAGGAAACCAGGAGAAGUUCAGCAGUACCAAGGCCCUAUGUUUGACUCGUUGCCAUGGCAUCAAGCUUUUACAAGGACAACUUAAGAAUCAUUAAAGUGUCAAGGUGACAAGUCUGACAGUGGAUUUAACGAUGGAUGCUAAUAAUGUUACUUCUUCACUUCAUAAUCAUUUAGGAUUCAAGGCUUGAUUUUCAGAAGAGAAAUACAUCUGAUGCAGACACUGUGGAAACCUGCACAAGCUGUGGGGAAUCUCAGGAGAAUGGAGCUUUGGGUUGAGUAACGCGUGUGGGCUUCCAGAGCUCAUAAACCAGCC